GACGAACGCUGGCGGCGUGCUUAACACAUGCAAGUCGAACGGAAAGGCCCUGCCUUUGUGGGGUGCUCGAGUGGCGAACGGGUGAGUAACACGUGAGUAACCUGCCCUUGACUUUGGGAUAACUUCAGGAAACUGGGGCUAAUACCGGAUAGGAGCUCCUGCUGCAUGGUGGGGGUUGGAAAGUUUCGGCGGUUGGGGAUGGACUCGCGGCUUAUCAGCUUGUUGGUGGGGUAGUGGCUUACCAAGGCUUUGACGGGUAGCCGGCCUGAGAGGGUGACCGGCCACAUUGGGACUGAGAUACGGCCCAGACUCCUACGGGAGGCAGCAGUGGGGAAUAUUGCACAAUGGGCGGAAGCCUGAUGCAGCAACGCCGCGUGCGGGAUGACGGCCUUCGGGUUGUAAACCGCUUUCGCCUGUGACGAAGCGUGAGUGACGGUAAUGGGUAAAGAAGCACCGGCUAACCACGUG
rnacentral:rRNA from 1 species